rnacentral:rRNA from 1 species
CCUACGGGUGGCAGCAGUGAGGAAUAUUGGUCAAUGGACGAGAGUCUGAACCAGCCAAGUAGCGUGAGGGAUGAAGGUUCUAUGGAUCGUAAACCCCUUUUAUAAGGGAAUAAAGUGUGGGACGUGUCCUAUUUUGUAUGUACCUUAUGAAUAAGGAUCGGCUAACUCCGUGCCAGCAGCCGCGGUAAUACGGAGGAUCCGAGCGUUAUCCGGAUUUAUUGGGUUUAAAGGGUGCGUAGGCGGCCUUUUAAGUCAGCGGUGAAAGUCCGUGGCUCAACCAUAGAAUUGCCGUUGAAACUGGGGGGCUUGAGUAUGGUAGAGGCAGGCGGAAUGCGAGGUGUAGCGGUGAAAUGCGUAGAUAUCCCGCAGAACCCCGAUUGCGAAGGCAGCCUGCCAGGCCAUGACUGACGCUGAUGCACGAAAGCGUGGGGAUCAAACAGGAUUAGAUACCCGGGUAGUC